GCCUUCGUGGUGUAGUGGUCAGCACGCUCGACGCAUAAGUGAGAGGUCCGUGGUUCGAUUCCCGGUGAAAGUU
rfam:Stegodyphus mimosarum contig93220, whole genome shotgun sequence.